CUGUGGGGCGCUGCAACGGGGCUGGUGCUGUGCACCACGGGGCUCGGCUGCGGGGCGGAGCGGUGCAAGGGGCCUGGUGCAGCGCGGUGCCAGGCUGCGGGGGGCUAGAGCAGCAAGGUGCCCGGCUGCCCCCUUUAGUCGCGGGGUGUCGGGCACCUGGCAGCUCUGCACCCCGCUGUAGGGCCCCUGGCUAAGCUCCCGUGCCGUGCGGGGCCUAGCCGGGCGCAGAGCAGCGGGCCCGCUAUGACAUAGUUCCGGCUCCACGGGGGAGCGAGCCGGGACCUAGAUCCCGCCAGCGGCCCCGCUCCCCUGGGCAGCUCGCUGUGCUCUGCAGCGCCCCCGUUCCCCUCCGCUGUGGCCCCAUCGGCUGGUCCCCGGCGGGGGGCUGCCGUCAGCCUGCGGUUCCGAGGGGAAGGGCGGGCGCUCAGCCCCUUCGGUUCCGCUGAUGGCUGCUCUGGCACACCAGCCUUUGGGUGACUUUCUUUUCCCGAGAGGAAAUCUUCUGAAAUCUCCCUCAUCUCCCUCCCAGCAGCAGCCGCCGCCCCUUAGGGCAGGGAGCUAAAUGCUUCCCGGGCCCAGUCAGAGAGAAUCAGUUUUUAUACUUUGGGGGGUUCCCCCACCCCCUUCUUCACCUAAAACAACUUUGCAAACUUGUGUCGUGGUGCAGGUAGGCACUGUGAGGUCGGCAUUACUGCUGAGGAGCACUCCUGGACUGUGUCCUUUCCAUAGCCUUGCUGUUUGCCUGGAUGGAAUGGAGCAUCACUAACAUGCAAAUAUCUGCUGGUGCCAAUUAAACUUAGCCUAUGUCUGUCAUAUAAAGUGCUAACAUUAAUUUCAGGCGUAUGUGGGGAAACCUUAACUGAACUGUGACUGCCCUGCUCCAAGCAAUUUGUCCUGAACUGAUACUCUCAGUAGUGUCCCGCCAGAGGCCGCAGCGUUACAGGGGUCGUCCAGGAUUUCAACUGGGGAGUCUCUGAAGCUCAAGAUGCGCUUCCUCAGCUAGGGGAAAUCUCAGCCAUCCUUGAGAUCUCAGCCGUCCGUGUUAUCACCAGCCGAAAGAUUCCAAAG